CCUGAUGCACAACAUUUGUGUUAAAGUUAAACUAUUCUCAUGGCUGAUAUCUUGUCCUGUUUUGAUUUUAAGUCUUCCAGGUCCCUUGCACCAUUAGCAGAGGAGUUUGGAAUGAAAUUGCCAGAACACAUCUGUGUCAUGUGGACCCCGCCCCCCCUGACGCGGCUCUGACGGUAUUUAGGCAGACCACGCCAGAGAGAGGGCGCUUGGUGAUUGUGUGUGAGCUAAUGUGUGAGCUACCUCCGUGAGACCACGGGCUCCACAGGCUCAGCUACUG